UACAGAGGGGGCAAGCGUUAUUCGGAAUUAUUGGGCGUAAAGGGCGCGUAGGCGGCUUUUCAAGUGGCGGGUGAAAUCCCUCGGCUUAACCGAGGAACUGCCUGCCAGACUGGAUUGCUUGAGGCCGGGAGAGGCGAGUGGAAUUCCCAGUGUAGCGGUGAAAUGCGUAGAUAUUGGGAGGAACACCAGUGGCGAAGGCGGCUCGCUGGACCGGUUCUGACGCUGAGGCGCGAAAGCGUGGGGAGCAAACAGG
rnacentral:rRNA from 1 species